UACGGAGGGGGCGAGCGUUGUUCGGAAUCAUUGGGCGUAAAGGGCGCGUAGGCGGUCUUGUAAGUCGGUUGUGAAAUCCCUUGGCUUAACCAAGGAACUGCAACCGAAACUACAGGGCUGGAGUCCGGGAGAGGGUAGUGGAAUUCCCAGUGUAGCGGUGAAAUGCGUAGAUAUUGGGAGGAACACCAGUGGCGAAGGCGGCUACCUGGACCGGUACUGACGCUGAGGCGCGAAAGCUAGGGGAGCAAACAGG
rnacentral:rRNA from 1 species